GCACUAAUGAAGAGUCCCACAAUGGGACGAAACGGCCCGUCCAGUGC
rnacentral:hammerhead_ribozyme from 1 species